UUGUCGUCAGCGGGAGAGACUCGGCCCCCGAGGCCGGGCACCGAAGGAGCAACCGCCCCGGAAACUCUCAGGUACCAGGGACCGCGGACAAGGU
rnacentral:ncRNA from 2 species